AAUGUUCUGUGAUUAAAAGCUCCGGCGCCUUAGGAUGGAUCUGCGGCCUAUCAGGUAGUAGUGGGUGUAACGUACCUACUAGCCUACGACGGGUACGGGUUGUGAGAGCAAGAGCCCGGAGAUGGAUUCUGAGACAUGAAUCCAGGCCCUACGGGGCGCAGCAGGCGCGAAAACUUUACAAUGCGGGAAACCGCGAUAAGGGGACACUGAGUGCCAGCACCAUGUGUUGGCUGUCCGCAUGUAUAAAUCACAUGUGUCAGCAAGGGCCGGGCAAGACCGGUGCCAGCCGCCGCGGUAACACCGGCGGCCCGAGUGGUGGCCAUUAUUAUUGGGUCUAAAGGGUCCGUAGCCGGUUUGAUCAGUCUUCCGGGAAAUCUGACAGCUCAACUGUUAGGCUUCUGGGGGAUACUGUCAGACUUGGAACCGGGAGAGGUAAGAGGUACUACAGGGGUAGGAGUGAAAUCUUGUAAUCCUUGUGGGACCACCAGUGGCGAAGGCGUCUUACCAGAACGGGUUCGACGGUGAGGGACGAAAGCUGGGGGCACGAACCGGAUUAGAUACCCGGGUAGUCCCAGCCGUAAACGA
rnacentral:rRNA from 1 species